GCAAUCAGUGGAUGCCUUGGCAGUAAAAGCCGAAGAAGGACGUUUCAAGCCUGCGAAAGUUAUCGGGGAGGUGGCAAGAACUUAUGAUCCGGUAGUGAUAGGGGGUGAGAGUCCCGUAUUCGAAAUUGGAAAAACUAAAGUCUGGUACCCAAACUCUAGAUCGAAUCCGGGCCGACCACGGUCCAAGACUAAAUACUUUUACUGACCGAUAGUGAACUAGUACCGCGAGGGAAAGGUGAAAAGAAGGGCGAGUAGCCCUAUUAAAAGAUCCUGAAACUGAUUGCUAACAAACAGACGGAGUCUGCCGUAAGGUGGAUGACGUCGUGCCUAUUGAAGAAUGAGCCGGCGAGUUACUCAACACAGCAAGGUUAACCGAUAAGUUUCGGGAAGCCGAAGGGAAACCAAGUCUUAACAGGGCGUGUAGUUGUGUUGUGUAGACCCGAAACCAGGUGAGCUAACCAUGAGCAGGCUGAAGGUUGGAGAAAUCCAACUGGAGGGCCGAACAGGUUGAUGUCGCAAAAUCAUCUGAUGACUUGUGGUUAGAGGUAAUAUGCCUAACGAACCUGGAGAUAGCUGGUUCUCCUCGAAACAUGUUUUGGCAUGGCCUCGUAUUUACGGUAUGGGGGGUAGAGUGCUGAAUGGACUUUGCGAAUAAAAUCGUAAUUUCCAACCAAACUCCGAAUACCCAUAUCAAUUGUACGGGAGUCAGUGGCUGGGGGCUAAGCUCCAGUCGCAAAAGGGAAACAUCCCAGACCCUCAAAUAAGGUCUCUAAAUAUAUAUUAAGUGGUAAAGGACGUGUCAUUUCUCAGACACCUAGGAGGUCGGCUCAGAAGCAGCCAUCCUUGAAAGAAAGCGUAACAGCUCACUAGCCGAGAGAUACACGGCCGAAGACGUAACGAGGCUAAAUAUAUUACCGAAUUUAGGGAUUCGCAUCGCAAGAUGUGAGUGGUAGAGGAGCGUUCCUGUAGCUUUGAAGGCUGACCGUAAGGUUUGCUGGAGCGAUGAGUAGCGUAAUAAAGUGAGAAUCUUUAUAUCCGAAUGAGCAAGGUUUCCUACGCAACGUUCGUCGACGUAGGGUAAGGCGACCCUUAGGUGAGGCCAUAAUGGCGUAGCCGAUGGAUUACUGGUCGAUAUUCCAGUCCUUGUCUGUAAUCGUUAUUAACUGGGGCGGGACGAAGUUGGAUAGUCUGGGCGAUGUGUUGAAGAUACAUUCGCUUAAGCAGUUAGUCAGUCACUAUUGGCAAAUCCGUAGUGGCGUUUAUACGAGCUGUGAACACGAGUCUGCCGUAAGGUGGGCAAGUCAGAUGAUUUCAGUUUCCGAGAAAAGCGUCGCAGUGAGAGUGCAGAUAAUCCGUACCACAAACCGACACCGGUGCUCUGGUCGAGUAGACCAAGGAUAGCGAGAGAACUCUUCUUAAGGAACUCGGCAAAUUAGCUAGGCGUAAGUUCUACGAGAUGCCUUGCCCUGAGCAAUAUCAGGGCUACAACAAAAGAUUACAAAGGGGCUGUUUAACAAAAACACAGGUCUGUGCAAAAGAGAAAUCUUAAGUAUACAGGCUGAAACCUGCCCAGUGCCGGAAGGUUAAAUGCGUGGCUGAUCCAUCGCAAGAUGGCUAGGCUGCAAUUGAAGCCCCGGUGAACGGCAGCAGUAACUAUAACUGUCGACUAUAGGGCAGUUAAUAAAUUUGGCUAUAUGCUGGAACAACUCAUGUAUCCGACAGUACUCGAAAGAGUGAAAAUCUGUUCGGUGGAGUCAAUCAGCAGGAAAGAUUUCAACUUCAGUUGAAAAAUCCUCAGAGACUAUACGCCAAACGCAGAUUUAAGUCUGUGAUGAUAUAGUCCGAACUUUAUGGCGACAUAAAGAACCUUCAAGAUUUAUCUUGAAGUGAUAACAUAUAAGUCUAUGGUAGCGAAAUUCCUUGUCGGGUAAGUUCCGACCUGCACGAAAGGUGAAACGACUUUGUAACUGUCUUGAGAAGAGACUCGGCGAAUUUGAAUU
rnacentral:rRNA from 1 species